GGAGGCAGCAGUAGGGAAUCUUCCGCAAUGGGGGAAAGUCUGACGGAGCAACGCCGCGUGAGCGAUGAAGGCCUUCGGGUGGUAAAGCUCUGUUGUCAGGGAAGAACAAGUAUCGGAGUAAAUGCCGGUACCUUGACGGUACCUGACCAGAAAGCCCCGGCUAAAUACGUGCCAGCAGCCGCGGUAAUACGUAGGGGGCAAGCGUUGUCCGGAAUUAUUGGGCGUAAAGCGCGCGCAGGCGGUUCCUUAAGUCUGAUGUGAAAGCCCCCGGCUCAACCGGGGAGGGUCAUUGGAAACUGGGGAACUUGAGUGCAGAAGAGGAGAGCGGAAUUCCACGUGUAGCGGUGAAAUGCGUAGAGAUGUGGAGGAACACCAGUGGCGAAGGCGGCUCUCUGGUCUGUAACUGACGCUGAGGCGCGAAAGCGUGGGGAGCGAACAGGAUUAGAUACCCCGGUAGUCCACGCCGUAAACGAUGAGUGCUAAGUGUUAGGGGGUUUCCGCCCUUCAGUGCCGCAGCUAACGCAUAAGCACUCCGCUGGAG
rnacentral:rRNA from 1 species